rnacentral:rRNA from 1 species
AUAGGAGGUCCAGCCUGCCCAGUGAUAAUAUUCAACGGCCGCGGUAUCCUAACCGUGAGGAGGUAGCGUAAUCAUUUGUCCUUUAAAUGAGGACUGGUAUGAACGGCUUCACGAGGGCUGCAGUGUCUCCUUUUUCUAAUCAGUUAAACUAAUCUCCCCGUGAAGAAGCGGGGAUUCACCUAUAAGACGAGAAGACCCUAUGGAGCUUUAAACAAUUGUUAACAUUUGCAUUUAAAAACUUUUCUACUACAUAAAGUCCAAGCACUAUGUUUCUAGUUUUAGGUUGGGGUGACCAUGGAGAAAAACCCAUCCUCCAUGUUGAAAGAAAUUUUAUUUCUUAGCAAAAAGUUACAUCUUAAUGCAUCAACAAAUUGACCCUAAUUGACCCAAUAAUUUGAUCAACGAACCAAGUUACCCUAGGGAUAACAGCGCAAUCCACUUCAAGAGCUCUUAUCGACAAGUGGGUUUACGACC